rnacentral:rRNA from 1 species
AUUGAACGCUGGCGGCAGGCCUAACACAUGCAAGUCGAGCGGAUGAGGGGUGCUUGCACCCUGAUUCAGCGGCGGACGGGUGAGUAAUGCCUAGGAAUCUGCCCGAUAGUGGGGGACAACGUUUCGAAAGGAACGCUAAUACCGCAUACGUCCUACGGGAGAAAGUGGGGGCUCUUCGGACCUCACGCUAUCGGAUGAGCCUAGGUCGGAUUAGCUAGUUGGUGGGGUAAAGGCUCACCAAGGCGACGAUCCGUAACUGGUCUGAGAGGAUGAUCAGUCACACUGGAACUGAGACACGGUCCAGACUCCUACGGGAGGCAGCAGUGGGGAAUAUUGGACAAUGGGCGAAAGCCUGAUCCAGCCAUGCCGCGUGUGUGAAGAAGGUCUUCGGAUUGUAAAGCACUUUAAGUCGGGAGGAAGGGCUGCAGGUUAAUACCUUGCAGCCUUGACGUUACCGACAGAAUAAGCACCGGCUAACUUCGUGCCAGCAGCCGCCGCAGUAA